AGACAAUCUCCAUGUUGCUGCUACAGCUCAUAUUCUAAGAAGGCACUUUCUAAGUCAUUAUGGUUAUCCUUUUAAAACUCCUGCCUUUUAAUGUUUAUAAGGAAAUAACAGCAUCAGGAACUUAUUUUAAAAAAGAAGUCUGAUAUGGCCUGAGAACUGAACCUGGAGCCAUUCUGAUAAGGUGAUUCAAGGAAAUCUCAAUAAAUGGCUAUGAAGAUUGUAAAAGACCUGUGCCUUCUCCGCCUUUGGACCCAUCUAGAAAAUGAACGUCGACAUGUUACAUCAUCUCAGAAAAGCAGUCAGCUGGGAGUGAAGUUUUGGGUGGUUUUUUUUAAGCUUCAUUUAACAAAAGAGAGAAUAAAAUGGUCUAAGGCUUGCAGACUGAAAAGAGAGAAAAAUUGGUAAAGUCACGAUUAACUGAGCACUAGCCUUAUGAUGUACAGGACUGCUGCGGUCAUGGAAAUAAGUUUGCAUCCUCAUACUUAUGCAGAAAGGAAUAAGAUCAUGACGGUACUCUUCCUGAGUAGUUAAUUUAAAAACUGUUUUCUCUGAAGCACUAUUGCAUGGAAGAAUGGAUAUAUAUCAUAACUGUACAGAUAUGGAUAAAUAUGUGCACUUGGAUCAAGUUUCUUUAGUGCCUAUACUUGACACAGCUAUGUGUGGAACAAGAGGAAUAUUAUCUAAACAACUAAAAUUGCUCCAGUGGACAGUUUACCUGCAGUUGACAACUGUAGCUUCAAAAACUGUGUAUUUGAAUUCUUGAGAAAUGAAAUGGAUAAGUUUUGUGUGA
rnacentral:lncRNA from 1 species